UACGGAGGGUGCAAGCGUUAUCCGGAUUCACUGGGUUUAAAGGGUGCGUAGGUGGAUUAGUAAGUCAGUGGUGAAAUCUCCGGGCUUAACCCGGAAACUGCCAUUGAUACUAUUAGUCUUGAAUACCGUGGAGGUCAGCGGAAUAUGUCAUGUAGCGGUGAAAUGCUUAGAUAUGACAUAGAACACCAAUUGCGAAGGCAGCUGGCUACACGAGCACUGACACUCAGGCACGAAAGCGUGGGGAUCAAACAGG
rnacentral:rRNA from 1 species